UCCUACGGGAGGCAGCAGUGAGGAAUAUUGGUCAAUGGGCGCAAGCCUGAACCAGCCAUGCCGCGUGAAGGAUGACAGCGCUAUGCGUUGUAAACUUCUUUUGUACGGGAAGAAACACUUCGACGUGUCGAAGCUUGACGGUACCGUACGAAUAAGCAUCGGCUAACUCCGUGCCAGCAGCCGCGGUAAUACGGAGGAUGCAAGCGUUAUCCGGAUUUAUUGGGUUUAAAGGGUACGUAGGCGGAAAAUUAAGUCAGUGGUGAAAUCCUGCAGCUUAACUGUAGAACUGUCAUUGAUACUGGUUUUCUUGAAUUUAGUUGAGGUAGGCGGAAAGUGUAAAGUAGCGGUGAAAAGCAA
rnacentral:rRNA from 1 species